AGUGAACGCUGGCGGUAGGCCUAACACAUGCAAGUCGAACGAGUGGCGGACGGGCGAGGCAUACAUCGGAAUCUACUUUGUCGUGGGGGAUAACGUAGGGAAACUUACGCUAAUACCGCAUACGACUGACUGAGCCGAGGUCGGAUUAGCUAGUUGGCGGGGCAAAGGCCCACCAAGGCGACGACCCGUAGCUGGUCUGAGAGGAUGAUCAGCAACACUGGAACUGAGACACGGUCCAGACUCCUACGGGAGGAAGCAGUGGGGAAUAUUGGACAAUGGGCGCAAGGCUGAUCCAGCCAUACCGCUUGGGUGAAGAAGGCCUUCGGGUUGUAAAGCCCUUGUGUUGGGAAAGCGGUACCCAAAGAAUAAGCACCGGCUAACUUCGUGCCAGCCGCCGCGGUAAUUC
rnacentral:rRNA from 1 species